AUACGGAGGAUCCGAGCGUUAUCCGGAUUUAUUGGGUUUAAAGGGUGCGCAGGCGGCCAUUUAAGUCAGCGGUUAAAUCGUGGGGCUCAACCCCAUUCUGCCGUUGAUACUGGGUGGCUUGAUUGCGGUCGAGGUUGGCGGAAUUCGUUGUGUAGCGGUGAAAUGCAUAGAUAUGACGAAGAACACCGAUUGCGUAGGCAGCUGACCAGCACGUGAAUGACGCGCAUGCACGAAAGUGCGGGGAUUGAACAGGAUUAGAUACCCUGGUAGACCGCACAGUAAACGAUGAAUACUUGUUUUCGGCGAUAGAAUGUCGGAGGCAAAGCGAAAGCGAUAAGUAUUCCACCUGGGGAGUACGCCGGCAACGGUGAGACUCAAAUGAAUUGACGGGG
rnacentral:rRNA from 1 species